rnacentral:rRNA from 1 species
AGCGCAGGUGGGAAAGUAAGUCAGUCUUAAAAGUGCGGGGCUUAACCCCGUGAGGGGACCGAAACUGCGAUGCUAGAGUAUCGGAGAGGAAAGCGGAAUUCCUAGUGUAGCGGUGAAAUGCGUAGAUAUUAGGAGGAACACCAGUGGCGAAAGCGGCUUUCUGGACGACAACUGACGCUGAGGCGCGAAAGCCAGGGGAGCAAACGG